GAUGAACGCUGGCGGCGUGCCUAAUACAUGCAAGUCGAGCGAACAGAUGAGGAGCUUGCUCCUCUGACGUUAGCGGCGGACGGGUGAGUAACACGUGGAUAACCUACCUAUAAGACUGGGAUAACUUCGGGAAACCGGAGCUAAUACCGGAUAAUAUAUUGAACCGCAUGGUUCAAUAGUGAAAGACGGUUUUGCUGUCACUUAUAGAUGGAUCCGCGCCGCAUUAGCUAGUUGGUAAGGUAACGGCUUACCAAGGCAACGAUGCGUAGCCGACCUGAGAGGGUGAUCGGCCACACUGGAACUGAGACACGGUCCAGACUCCUACGGGAGGCAGCAGUAGGGAAUCUUCCCCAAUGGGCGAAAGCCUGACGGAGCAACGCCGCGUGAGUGAUGAAGGUCUUCGGAUCGUAAAACUCUGUUAUUAGGGAAGAACAAAUGUGUAAGUAACUAUGCACGUCUUGACGGUACCUAAUCAGAAAGCCACGGCUAACUACGUG
rnacentral:rRNA from 1 species